AAGAAAGUAAGCAAGGGCGCAUGGCGGAUGCCUUGGCUCUCGGAGGCGAUGAAGGACGUGAUAAGCUGCGAUAAGCUUCGGGUAGGUGCAAAUAACCUUUGAUCCGAAGAUUUCCGAAUGGGACAACCCGUCAUUCUGAAGGAAUGACAUCUUGCAUAGCAAGAGGCUAACGCAGGGAACUGAAACAUCUUAGUACCUGUAGGAAAAGAAAAUAAUAAUGAUUCCCCUAGUAGUGGCGAGCGAACGGGGAUUAGCCCAAACCAAUGUUGUUACGGCAAUAUUGGGGUUGUAGGACCACGAUGUCGCAAGAAAUUUAGUGAGAAGAAUUCUUUGGAAAAUGAAACCAUAGACGGUGAUAGUCCGGUAUUCGAAGCUAAACGAAGCGUAGUGGUAUCCUGAGUAGCGCGGGACACGAGGAAUCUUGCGUGAAUCUGCCGGGACCAUCCGGUAAGGCUAAAUACUCCCGAGAGACCGAUAGCGAACCAGUACUGUGAAGGAAAGGUGAAAAGCACUUCGAAUAGAAGAGUGAAAUAGUCCCUGAAACCGUGCGCCUACAAGCGGUCGGAGCUGCGUAAGCAGUGACGGCGUGCCUUUUGCAUAAUGAACCUACGAGUUACUUUUUCCGGCAAGGUUAAGCAUUUCAAAAUGUGUAGCCGAAGCGAAAGCGAGUCUGAACAGGGCGAUUAGUCGGAAGGAGUAGACGCGAAACCAAGUGAUCUACCCUUGGUCAGGUUGAAGGUUAGGUAACACUAACUGGAGGACCGAACCGAUAAGCGUUGAAAAGCUUCCGGAUGAACUGAGGGUGGGGGUGAAAGGCUAAUCAAACUUGGAGAUAGCUCGUACUCCCCGAAAUGCAUUUAGGUGCAGCCUUGGGAAUUACUACUGUGAGGUAGAGCGACUGAUAAGAUGCGAGGGCUUCACCGCCUAUCAAGUCUUGAUAAACUCCGAAUGCGCAGUAGUUCGAUCCCAGGAGUGAGGGCAUGGGUGCUAAGGUCCAUGUCCUAAAGGAGAAGAAUCCGGACCAUCAGCUAAGGUCCCGAAAUAAUUGCUAAGUUGAACUAACGAAGUCAGAUUGCUAAGACAGCUAGGAUGUUGGCUUGGAAGCAGCCAUUCAUUUAAAGAGUGCGUAACAGCUCACUAGUCGAGGAGUUUGGCGUGGAUAAUAAUCGGGCAUUAAGCAAUUUACCGAAGCUAUGGGAUCAGUAAUGAUCGGUAGGGGAGCAUUCCACUCAGCGUCGAAGGUGAAGCGUGAGCUUUGCUGGAGCGUGUGGAAAAGCAAAUGUAGGUAUAAGUAACGAUAAAGGGGUGAGAAACCCCCUCGCCGAAAGACUAAGGUUUCCUGAUCAACGCUAAUCGGAUCAGGGUUAGUCGGGUCCUAAGGCUCAGCCGAACGGUGAGGCCGAUGGCAGAACAGGUUAAUAUUCCUGUACUACCUUAAGGAGUGACGUGGAGACGGAGGAGUGAUAGCGCCGCGGACUGACGGAAUAGUCCGUUGAAGGGUGUAGAUGUUGAUCUUUGCAGGCAAAUCCACAAAGAGAGUCGAACCUGAUAGUAUGGAACGUUCUUCGGAACAAUCCAAUAGUGCGUGUAAGCAUACUCCCAAGAAAAUCCGCUAAACUUAAUCUUUAAGGUACCCGUACCGCAAACGGACACACGUAGUCGGGUUGAAUAUACUAAGGCGCUUGAGUGAUUCACGGUUAAGGAACUAGGCAAAUUGACCCUGUAACUUCGGGAUAAAGGGUCCCAACGAGAGUUGGGCGCAGAGAAUAGGUCCAGGCAACUGUUUAACAAAAACACAGGGCUGUGCCAAAUUGAAAGAUUACGUAUACAGCCUGACACCUGCCCGGUGCUGGAAGGUUAAGAGGAGAUGUCAUCGCAAGAGAAGCAUUGAAUUGAAGCCCCAGUAAACGGUACCGUAACUAUAACGGUCCUAAGGUAGCGAAAUUCCUUGUCGGGUAAGUUCCGACCUGCACGAAUGGUGUAAUGAUCUGGACACUGUCUCAACCGUGAGCUCAGUGAAAUUGUAGUAUCGGUGAAGAUGCCGAUUACCCGCGAUGGGACGAAAAGACCCCGUGAACCUUUACUAUAGCUUAACAUUGAAUUUGGGUAAUUGAUGUGUAGGAUAUAGUAGGAGACUUUGAAUCAGGUACGCCAGUAUUUGUGGAGUCGCUGUUGAAAUACUACCUUUGAUUAUUUGAGUUCUAACUCGUAGAUGCGAGGACACUGUUUGGUGGGUAGUUUGACUGGGGUGGUCGCCUCCAAAAGUGUAACGGAGGCUUCUAAAGGUGCCCUCAGGACGAUUGGUAACCGUCCGUAGAGUGUAAUGGCAUAAGGGCGCUUGACUGGGAGACAGACAAGUCGAUCAGGUAGGAAACUAGAGCAUAGUGAUCCGGUGUUUCCGCAUGGAAGGGACAUCGCUCAAAGGAUAAAAGGUACUCCGGGGAUAACAGGCUGAUCCCUCCCAAGAGCUCAUAUCGACGGAGGGGUUUGGCACCUCGAUGUCGGCUCGUCACAUCCUGGGGCUGGAGAAGGUCCCAAGGGUUGGGCUGUUCGCCCAUUAAAGUGGCACGCGAGCUGGGUUCAGAACGUCGUGAGACAGUUCGGUCUCUAUCUAUCGUGGGCGUAUGAAAUUUGCGUGGCUCUGACACUAGUACGAGAGGACCGUGUUGGACUGACCGCUGGUUUACCAGUUGUGCCGCCAGGUGCAUCGCUGGGUAUCUAAGUCGGGAUUGGAUAAGUGCUGAAAGCAUCUAAGUACGAAGCCAGCCACAAGAUUAGAUUUCUUAGGGUCGUUAAAGACGAUGACGUUGAUAGGAUGCAGGUGUAAAGGUGGUAACAUCAAAGCCGAGCAUUACUAAUUGCCCGUUCACUUUCUUUC
rnacentral:rRNA from 1 species